rnacentral:rRNA from 1 species
UGGGGAAUUUUGGACAAUGGGGGAAACCCUGAUCCAGCCAUCCCGCGUGUGCGAUGAAGGCCUUCGGGUUGUAAAGCACUUUUGGCAGGAAAGAAACGUCAUGGGUUAAUACCCCGUGAAACUGACGGUACCUGCAGAAUAAGCACCGGCUAACUACGUGCCAGCAGCCGCGGUAAUACGUAGGGUGCAAGCGUUAAUCGGAAUUACUGGGCGUAAAGCGUGCGCAGGCGGUUCGGAAAGAAAGAUGUGAAAUCCCAGAGCUCAACUUUGGAACUGCAUUUUUAAAUACCGGACUAGAGGGUGUGAGAGGGAGGUGGAAUUCGGCGUGUAGCAGUGAAAUGAGUAGAUAUGCGAAGGAACACCGAUGGCGAAGGCAGCCUCCUGGGAUAAAACUGAAGCUCAUGCACGAAAGCGUGGGGAGCAAACAGG